UGGGCAGUAUCAUAAUGAACUGCACCCGAUCAGCAGAACAGAGAUUACGAAAAGUCUGCCUUGAUCCAAAAAAGGACUGGGACAGAGGG
rfam:Bacillus amyloliquefaciens FZB42, complete genome.